AUGAAUUUUAAGUAACCGUUCUCACGAACGGGUGUUGUGGGGUACCUAACACCUUUCCCACACUCAAUUGACUCUCAAACCUAUUUUUUAAUUUCGCAAACCAUCCUUAACUCCUUUAAAUGAUUUUUCAAGAUUUUCUUCAAAAUUUUGGUGGCGACUCCCAUUUCUUUAGUCUUCUUUCUGAAGGCCAGAACCUUUUCUUGCGCGCACUAUCCGUGUCGCAUUUUUGGGUGUGACAGUUGGUGACUCUGCUGGGGAUAGUUGGGAAGUCAAGCCUAUAUAAGUUUGUUGUGCUCAAGAUAUAAUCUGAUUUUUCUUUUUAUUAUUAUUAUUAUUCCUUUUAAUUUGUGUGUGCUUUUCCCCCCUCUUUUUCUCUUCUCUCUCUCUUUUCAUUUUUUAUAACAUGUCUUAGGAUAGAUAACAUGUGGAAUAAAUCUUAGGAUAGAAGACUUUUAUUUGUACAUAUAUUUAUCUCUUUGUUUGAUCUGAUUAGUAGAUGAGGGUUGGGCAACAUUAGGAAUAAGAUGACAGGCUUGCAUACUCUCUUCACACACUGUACACUUACACAAUUCGACACACAAAUAUUUUAGGCUCUAUACCCGGGUCGAUGAUUACCAUAGGUUAGUAGAGGUUGGUAGUGGUUUUCCUGAGGAGUUUUUGAACUCUCGGAGGUUACUGUGAAUACCUCACCUAAUCUGUUACUUACUCAAUAGAUUUGGUCCCUGUAGAAUUUAUGUUCUCGGAAGGUCAAAAUUAUUAAGUAAGGUCUUCACCAUUUGGUGAGGGCAUCUUGGGAACCUUUUUUUGACUGAAUGAAAGUCUUGGAUCUUAAAGGCUUAGAUUGGGUGAGUGAAAAUCUUGAUCCUCUUCACUAAGAGCCAUAUUCAGGAUCUUAAUCUUAUUUUAAGAUAUGUCCAGCCCUAUAUUAGUGAUUCUCAGAAUGACUAGUUAAUUUCAUCUAUUACUAAAGAAGAACUCAAGCAAGCCGUUUUCCAACUUGGGGGAUCCAAAGCUCCAGGGCCUGAUGGCUUUAAUAGCCACUUUUAUCAAUAUUCUUGGGAAGAGGUCAGUGACUCUUUUUUUGCUUAUUAAUAAUAUUCUGUUCAAAGAUGAAGAUCCUAGCUCCCUGAAUGAAACAAACUUGAUUCUUAUACCUAAGAUUGAAAGGCCUGAAACAAUUAGCCAAUUUAGGCCUGUAAGUCUCUGUAAUUUUGCCUUCAAAGCCCUCUCAAAAGUCUUAGCUAACAGAUUCAAGGGUAUUUUGGGUGACUGUGUGUCUAAAAGUUAAAGGGCUUUUGUCCCUAGCCGGCUUAUUCAUGAUAAUAUCAUCUUAGUGCAUAUGGUGUUUCAUUUUUUAAAAAUGCACAGAGUGGGAAAUGACUGUUUCUUUGCCUUUAAAAUGGAUAUGAAUAAAGCUUUUGAUCGGUUGGAAUAGGAUUUCAUUGAGGCUGUCUUAGCCAAGAUGGGAUUUUAUGAAACUUGGAUAAAAUGGAUUAUGAAAUGUGUGAUGUGUCUUGCUUUUAAUAUUUAGGUUUCUGGUAAAAACAUUGCUCGCAUUCAGCCAAAAAGAAGGGUGAGGCAAGGCGACCCACUAUCUCCAUACCUCUUCAUAAUUGCUACCGAAGUGUAAUCUCUUAUGCUAAAAAAAAUUACAUCAUCAUUAAAGGCUCCUUCAAUCCUAUUGCAAUGCUUCAAGUCAGCGUAUUAACUAUGAUAAGUCAUCAUUAUUUUUCUCUGCAAAUACUUCACAAGUUGGCAAGGAUGAAGUUUAUUGUUUCCUUCAUGUUAAUGUUGUGGAUAAUCCAGACUUAUAUUUGGGCUUACCAGUUUUAUGGGGACGUUCAAAAGUCGCUGCUCUUGCCUAUGUGAAGGACAAAGUGGGCAUCAAAGUUCACAACUGGAAAAGCCAAUUUCUCUCCUUUGCUGGUAGAGAAGUUAUGAUAAAGAAUUCCAUUCAUUGGAAAGCUUGGAGCAAGCUAUGUGCCCUAAAAAAGGAUGGGGGCUUUAGUUUUCAUGACUUUAUGAAUUUCAAUGAUGCACUUCUAGCCCAAACAGCACGGUGAACAUUGCAGAAUCCUAAUCAAUUAUGGGUGCAAGUUCUCAAGACAGUCUACUUUCCUACUAGUUCCUUCCUUCAAGCUAAAAAAGGGGCACGAGCCUCAUGCGCUUGGAGCAGCAUUUUGCAAGGUCUACAUCAGUCUUUAAUGCAGCAGCUCUAAAUCCCAGCCAAGUUCUAAUAUCAACAGCUGCAGCAGUGGAUGAAUUAUGGAAAAUUAAUCACUUAGUGCAAAAUAUCACUGGGUCCUCUAAGGUUUUCAAUUCUGUUUGGAAGCCCCCAGAUUCUGGUGUUAAAAUUAAUUUUGAUGGAGCAUUUUCAAAAGCUACAAAAAUGGCAGCCAUUGGCAUCAUUGCUCGUGACAGCUCUGGGACCUUUCUUAAAGGCUGGCGUGAGGUUGUUGAUGCUGAUUCUAGCUUUUAUCUGAACUUUUGGCUUGCUAGAAAGCAGUACAAUUAGCCUCUGAAUUUAAUAAGGGCAAGGUUAUUAUUGAGCUGGAUUGUCUUGAUCUCUUUCGAGCCUUGAUUCACAGGGAUAUUUCUUAUUUUCCCUGUCCUGGCCUUGUCAUGGGUUGCUGGAGGGUUUAUUGGCUAUCACAGAGUCCUUGCAUUUUCUUUCCUUUUGGUUUGUCAAACGUGAAGGUAAUUCUGCUGCUAAUUGGAUAGCAGCCUCCACUUUAAAGGAUGUGGAUGUGAAUGGAUGGGUCUUCUGUCCACCACCUCCUCUUAUUUGUCUUCUUCUGAAGGAUUUUGAUCAUUUUCAGUCUUCUUUCCAGCGUCCUGUGUUGAAUCGUGAUAGAGAAGGAAUUGGUUGAUUUGUUGUAGCUUCUUUUGUUUUGUCUUUUGCUAGGUCUUGGCCUUUUUAGCUUUUGACUAUUAUGUUGCUUUCGUUAUUUUCUGUUUGUAAACUCUUAUGCUUCCUUUAAUGGAGUUUCUCUUUGGUCCAAAAAAA